UAAAAAGGCUGCACUAUUUAUUGAGUAAUGAGCAACUCUGUGUUCAGUUAGAAAAUGUAUUAACUGAGUGACAGGAUGCACUUACCUGUUUCUCUGUGUUAGAUGUGUAAGGGGCUGGAGCUGUUCACACACACACACACACACCUGUAGCACUUCCGAGCUCAGACAGAGAGUCUAGAUGGCAUGAAUGAGUCUUGGAAUUGGCUCUUGCAAUUAUGAAAACUUGGUGAGUCAAAAACCUGCAGGGUGGGCCAGCAGGCUGGACGCCCAGGGGAGACGUGCAGUUCCAGUCCAAAAGCCGUUUUGAUGGCAAUUUCCUCUGCCUCAGGGGAGGAAAGAACACACAGACCUUGACCCGACUCACGUCUAACUAAAGCCGGACUGUGGGAGUCCGGUGUCCGUAAAUCAGCUUUCCCAUCGGAAC